rnacentral:rRNA from 1 species
AGUGAACGCUGGCGGUAGGCCUAACACAUGCAAGUCGAACGGCAGCACAGGAGAGCUUGCUCUCUGGGUGGCGAGUGGCGGACGGGUGAGGAAUACAUCGGAAUCUACUCUGUCGUGGGGGAUAACGUAGGGAAACUUACGCUAAUACCGCAUACGACCUACGGGUGAAAGCAGGGGACCUUCGGGCCUUGCGCGAUUGAAUGAGCCGAUGUCGGAUUGGUUAGUUGGCGGGGUAAAGGCCCACCAAGGCGACGAUCCGUAGCUGGUCUGAGAGGAUGAUCAGCCACACUGGAACUGAGACACGGUCCAGACUCCUACGGGAGGCAGCAGUGGGGAAUAUUGGACAAUGGGCGCAAGCCUGAUCCAGCCAUACUGCGUGGGUGAAGAAGGCCUUCGGGUUGUAAAGCCCUUUUGUUGGGAAAGAAAUCCAGCUGGCUAAUACCCGGUUGGGAUGACGGUACCCAAAGAAUAAGCACCGGCUAACUUCGUGCCAGCCGCCGCCGUAA